UCAAACUUGGUCAUUUAGAGGAAGUAAAAGUCGUAACAAGGUCUCCGUAGGUGAACCUGCGGAGGGAUCAUUAUAGAGUUAUAAAACUCCUAAACCCACUGUAUACCUACCUAUUUCUGUUGCUUCGGCAGGUAGCCCCAGGGCGGGGCUGUAGCCUUAUAAGCGCCUGCCGAAGGACCAAAAACUCUUGUUAUAGUUGUUAUCUGAGUCUAAAGACGAAUUAGUUAAAACCUUCAACAACGGAUCUCUUGGUUCUGGCAUCGAUGAAGAACGCAGC
rnacentral:misc_RNA from 1 species